CUCGUAUUGGAGCUGCAUCACCUGAACAGAGGAAAGUCGGGGAUUACGUUUUUCGACACGUCAAAUCAGAUUUUUGUGACUCCUCCGAGAUCCGAAGAAAUCCCAAAGCCAACACUGAAUACCAUUUCUAGCAGAGUUGGUGAGGUCAUUGAUCUGAAGCCUGGCCGCCUUCAGUUCCUCCUGCAGGGCCUCGGCCUUCGCGCCGUCCAUCCCGCCUACCCCCGAGAAUCCUCCGUGCCGGGCCCCGCCCUCGUGAGUGCCGGCUUUGAAUCGCAUCUUGUUCAGCUCGUUGGUCACCCUCUGGUUCUGUUCCUCUGCGUCGGCGAGGUUCCUCCUCAGAAGCUCCGCCUCGUCCUCCACCAGCUGCAGCUGCUGCCUGAGCUCCGUCAGGUCGUCCCCGAGCCCUCGCCCCAAACCAGGACCCCCAGCUGAGCCGACCCCGGAGCUGCCCUCCCCUUCGCCCUCACCGCGCAGGUCGUCCAGCUCGGCUCGGAGGCCUCGGUUCUCCACCUGGACAAGACAACAAGGAGAGACGGCGGCUCUGAAAUGCUAACCGUGGCUGUUUGUAAUUACUCCCGAGCCGCUACACAUCCUUAAUUUGCCGUUUUGUAAUGCUGCAACUCAGUUUUCCUGUCGCAAAUAGAGAGCAUCUGUAACUGAUGCUGUUGUCCACACGCACCUCCAACUCGACUAUUUUCCUCCCCAGGAUGUUGGCUUCCUCCUCCACAAGACGGAGGCGCAGCUUGAGCUCUGACUCGCGGGUAGACGGCGGACCCCCGGCCUCGCCCUUGGGAUGGCUGCUGUCCAAUUCGCCGUAGAAGGAGCGAUACUUUUGCAGCUCUUGCUCCAGACGGUCCUUCUCCUUGUCGAUGGUCGCCGUCUUCCUCCUCAUGAGGUCCACUUCCAGGGAUCUUCUGUCUUUCUCCCUUUACUUUCAGGCUGCUUUCAAACCUGCAGCUGAUCAGCAAUCACCUCCCGUGUUGCCCGCCUCCCUGCCCAGCCUGGCUCCACUUUUUCCUCCCCGGACCACUUGACCCUGCACCCAUCCUUCCCUCAUCCCGUUCGCUUUUGGAUCCUCUGCCGCCAUUACCUUCGCUACCCAUAACAAACUGAUCACGAAAAAAAUUGGCCGCAUAGCGGGAGGGCGGGGGGCACAAAACACUGUACUGCCAUGCCCAAUGUAAUGUUUAUCUACCCACCUCUUUGGUUUUUU